rnacentral:rRNA from 1 species
UGAAAAGUACCAAUCAGGCGUUAACGAGCGACUACAUAGAGCGAUGAAGCUUCCUUCGGGAAGUGGAUUAGCGGCGGACGGGUGAGUAACACGUGGGUAACCUGCCUCAAAGUGGGGGAUAGCCUUCCGAAAGGAAGAUUAAUACCGCAAAUAUGAGAGAAUCGCAUGAUUUUCUUAUCAAAGAUUUAUUGCUUUGAGAUGGACCCGCGGCGCAUAGCUAGUUGGUAAGGUAACGGCUUACCAAGGCAACGAUGCGUAGCCGACCUGAGAGGGUGAUCGGCCACAUUGGAACUGAGACACGGUCCAGACUCCUACGGGAGGCAGCAGUGGGGAAUAUUGCGCAAUGGGGGAAACCCUGACGCAGCAACGCCGCGUGGGUGAUGAAGGUCUUCGGAUUGUAAAGCCCUGUUUUCUGGGACGAUAAUGACGGUACCAGAGGAGGAAGCCACGGCUAACUACGUGCCAGCAGCCGCGGUAAUACGUAGGUGGCGAGCGUUGUCCGGAUUUACUGGGCGUAAAGGGUGCGUAGGCGGAUGUUUAAGUGGGAUGUGAAAUCCCCGGGCUU